GACUAAUUUUUUGAAAUUACUAUAUAGGUGAAAAAGCCUAUGUAAACAAAAUAGACGAGAAGACCCUUAGAGUUUUAUUUAAUGUAAGAUAUUCUUACAAUAAUUUAGUUGGGGCAACUUAGGAACAGAUAGUGUAAGUAACUUCCUAAAAUGUAAUUAUUCAACGAUUUUAGUAAAAUUAUAUAAACUACCUUAGGGAUAACAGCAUAAUUUAUUAUAUAAGUUUGUGACCUCGAUGUUGGACUAGGAAAUUAAAAGGCUAGCCGCUUUUUAAAAAGGUUCUGUUCGAACUAUAAAUCCUAC
rnacentral:rRNA from 1 species